rnacentral:lncRNA from 1 species
UUACAAAAUAACGUAAAAUGCUUAGGGCGUAUAAUAGCGCGCCACUUUAAUAAUUCAAAACAAGAUCACAGAAGAAAGACUGGAAAGAGUUAUGCCAACAUGCAGAUAAUGGUUAUCUCUACGUAGUAAAUUAAAGGGUGUUCUUGGGCAGCCCGGGUGGCUCAGCGGUUUAGCGUCGCCUUCAGCCCAGGGCCUGAUCCUGGGAAUCCAGGAUCGAGUCCCACGUAGGCCUCCCUGCAUGGAGCCUGCUUCUCCCUCUGCCUGUGUCUCUGUGUCUCUCACAAAUAAGUAAAUUUUAAAAAUCUUUAAAAAAUAAUAGAAAUAAAAAAUAAAGGAUAUUCUUAUGUCUUUUCUCUCUUGAGAAUCUCUAAGAUAGCCAGUCAUUUUCUAAUCAGCAAAUACCAUAUAUUUUAAUCUUUUUUUUUUUUAAUAGGACAGUCUCAAAGCUGGUAGCAUUGGUCUCCAAAAAGAACACAUUGAUGCUGAGAAGACCAAAAACUUUUCUAAGCUGACUCCCAGGUGGAGGAAGUCAGGUUGUGGGCUCUCUUCAUCCCACCAGGAGCCAACAUUUGUUGAUCACAGAUGAAUCCAUGCAACCCACCCAGAGUGAUGCUUUGAUUCUCUUCAGCAAAGACUGGGCCGAGAAAAAAAUAAAAAGUCCCGGUAGCAAUUCGGUGGGCCUAAGCACAUGCACUGAGAAGAGAGUCAAAAAGGAAGAUUUUCACAACGAAUUAUCAUUCAAGUCCUCUCAGACCUGUAGUCUCGUAUAUGGCUACAGGAGGUGGCCCUAGAUUUCUUAUAAACCCUUCCAAAAGUACUAAAUAUAGGAUCAAAGUGAUGCUAUUUCCAUGUGGAGUUGCCAAAGCACAGAAGCGUGGCUGCAGAGUACAAGUUUCCUUUGAAGGCGCCGUUGCUAUCAAUAUUGCUUACUCGGCAGUCCAGUGAUAUCAAAAUAAAGUGUUCAUAUAGACAUAUAUUCA